AGACCUCAUAACUGCAGUGUUUUAUACUUGAAAGGAACUUUUAAACAUUACUGAACUUGAGUUGUUGCAGUUCCAGUCCUUGAAAGUUUAAAGGCCCAAAAAGAAGCAACUGCCUCUUCAAACUGUAGAGAGUAUUUCUGAUGCAUGCACUCUUCAGACUGCCUUGACAACUUUCCUCAGCAACAGCAUAUCCAAACUAACAGAGGCAACCUUUCCAGAGCACCAAGAGAAUGGUUAUUGCUCUUCUAGUUCAUAAACUGCCCCUCUCCUCUCUUUCCCCAGCCUCAUCUCAAACACCUGUAGCAUGAAAACAUUGUAAACACUACACAUGCAAUGAGUUUCAUUCAACUUGUAAAAACCAUAAAAUAAAAAAAAAACACCUUACCACAGAAGCCCCCCAGAGACAUGAAAUUGCAACCGAUUAUGAGAAGUGUACAAUUUGCAAAGCAAAUGUAUUCAUGUCAUUGGCAAAAUAUGCUCCUUGAGCAAUGUGCACAUAAACAAACCUCUCCCUCACUAUUACUCAGAACUGCAACUUACAGCCUGCUCAAACUGCCAGGUUGUUUUUCCCCAAAUGCUGGUUUCCAAAAGGUUGGCUUUCCCAAAGAUGGUCCAUUAGCCCUCAGGAGCAGAUCACCCAGGCAGACUCAGGAAAUGGAAAAUGGGUCGUCUCUUCUUCUUGCAUUGUUUUAAGCCUCAGGAAAUGCCAAACUGGCUCAGUGUUGGGUAUUCCAUAUAACACAGCUUCUUCCACUGAGACUCAAUAGAAAAUGGGCCGCAUGGGUACACAAGAGAAUUAACAGACAAACACCAAUUAAAGCUAUCAUGAUAUAUCUUUUA